AUGUUCCAUAGAUCCGAACGUCAGAUGCCGCCGCCGGCGGCGGUGGCCGACUGGUCGGGCCUCCACCAAGACAUCCUCAGCCGCAUCUUCCUCUCGAUCGCAUGCAUCGGCGACCGGGUCAGGUUCUCCGCCGUCAACCAGCACUGGCGUGGCGUCGCGCUGCAAAACCCGCCCCCGCUCCCCUGGCUCCUCAUGCCCUCCACUGCCGGGACCUCCUGCUACCGGAUCUUCGGCGGGAUCGCCGACCCGCAGCCGCCCCUCGCCGGCGCCGUCCGCGGGGCGCGUUUCUGCGGCUCCUCUCAUGGCGGCUGGUCCGUGGUCGUGCUCCACCAGUGGCACGGCCACGCCCUGCUCAACCUCCGCUCCGGCGAGCGCGUCCUCCUCCCGGACCACGUGCGCGUCACCCUGAACGGCGGGCGCGUCCCGCCGAACUUCAACGUCAUCAGGUGCCCCAUAAUGAUCCGCGCGGCCGCCGUGUCCGCGCCGCCGCCGUCGGCUGCAUGCGUCGUCGCUGCCCUGACGACAGGCCAGACCACCAUGGCGUUCUGGCGCCCGGGCAUGGACUGCUGGUCGCCGGCGCCGCUGGGGGCUCCGUGUGACGCCCAGGACCUGACGUACCACGACGGAUGCUUCUGGGCCGUCAACCCCUGUGAGCAGCUCUUCUGCUACAGGCCGGAGAUUGCCGGCGCAGACGGUGCGCUUACUGUUCAACAUCUUGUCUACCAGUGCUGUGCUGACCAGAUGACCCCCGCGGCGCCAGGGGAGAUCGUCUCCCGCUACCUCCUGCCUGCCGCCUCCGGUGAAGAUUUGCUAAUGGUGAAGAGGUUCGUCGAUCCGGCGAGAGGCGGCACUAGGCGGUUCGAGGUCUUCAGGCUAGAGAAGCAACUUGGCAGAACCUCCUGGCGCUUCCACAAGAUGGAGGGGCAGGUGCUCUUUGUCGGCCGGAGCUGCUCCAAGGCCUUCGACACAGGGCGCAGCGGCAAUCCGGGCUACAUCUACUUCCUCGACGAUGUCUAUGGUGGCCGUCCGAUGAGCGUUCUCCAGCAGAACGAAUAUCCCUGCACCGACAUGGGUGGUUGGAGUUGCUCCCCUGACGACGAGGAAAUCAAGCGCUGCCUGCCAUGGGCGCAUCCCUCGGACAGCUCACCGUCCAUUUGGUACCUCCAUUGA
rnacentral:rRNA from 1 species